UACGGGGGGGGCAAGCGUUGUUCGGAAUUACUGGGCGUAAAGGGCUCGUAGGCGGCCCACUAAGUCCGACGUGAAAUCCCCAGGCUUAACUUGGGAACUGCGUCGGAUACUGGUGGGCUUGAAUCCGGGAGAGGGAUGCGGAAUUCCAGGUGUAGCGGUGAAAUGCGUAGAUAUCUGGAGGAACACCUGUGGUGUAGACAGCUUACUGGACCACUUCUGACGCUGAGACACGAAAGCGUGGGUAGCAAACAGG
rnacentral:rRNA from 1 species